rnacentral:rRNA from 1 species
GAUGAACGCUGACAGAAUGCUUAACACAUGCAAGUCUACCAAGAAUCACUUCGGUGAGGAAUGGUGGCGGACGGGUGAGUAACGCGUAAAUAAUCUGCCCUUUAGACUGGGAUAUCCUUUGGAAACGAAGGUUAAUACCGGAUAUUAUGAGAUGGACGCAUGUUCAACUUAUGAAAGCUAAAUGCACUAGAGGAGGAGUUUGCGUCCCAUUAGCUAGUUGGUGAGGUAAAGGCUCACCAAGGCCACGAUGGGUAGCCGGCCUGAGAGGGUGAACGGCCACAAGGGAACUGAGCCACGGUCCUUACUCCUACGGGAGGCAGCAGUGGGGAAUAUUGGACAAUGGACCAAAAGUCUGAUCCUGCAAUUCUGUGUGCACGAUGAAGGUCUUCGGAUUGUAAAGUGCUUUCAGUAGGGAAGAAAAAAAUGACGGUAACUACAGAAGAAGCGACGGCUAAAUAUGUGCCAGCAGCCGCAGUAAUAC